rnacentral:misc_RNA from 1 species
GAACUCCUCAACCCUGGAUGGAUUUUGAAUCUGACCAGUGGCUUGGAUUUGGGGGCUUGCUGGCCGUUUCAAUUCGGUCUGCUCCCCUUGAAUGUAUUAGCUUGGACUUGUUACGAAGGCUACAUAGCGUGAUAAUUAUCUACGCUUUGGUUGCUUUUGAAACACUGCUGGUCUAGCUUCAAAUCGUCCUUCUGGACACUCUUCACU